rnacentral:rRNA from 1 species
AACGAACGCUGGCGGCAGGCCUAACACAUGCAAGUCGAACGCCCUAGCAAUAGGGAGUGGCAGACGGGUGAGUAACGCGUGGGAACGUGCCCUUCGGUCCGGAAUAACCCAGGGAAACUUGGACUAAUACCGGAUACGUGCGAGAGCAGAAAGAUUUAUCGCCGAAGGAUCGGCCCGCGUCCGAUUAGCUAGUUGGUGAGGUAAUGGCUCACCAAGGCGACGAUCGGUAGCUGGUCUGAGAGGAUGAUCAGCCACACUGGGACUGAGACACGGCCCAGACUCCUACGGGAGGCAGCCGCCAAGGCACACAGGGGAUAGG